GAUGAACGCUAGCGGCAGGCUUAAUACAUGCAAGACGAACGGUAACUGGAGUAGCAAUACAACAGCUAGAGUGUCGUACGGGUGCGUAACACGUAUGCAACCUACCUUGUACAGGGGUAUAGCUCGGGGAAACUCGAAUUAACCCCCCAUAAUAUCAUGGUGUGGCAUCACACUAUGAUUAAAACUUACGGUGGUACAAGAUGGGCGAUGCGUUUGAUUAGUUAGUUGGCAGUGUAAAGGACUACCAAGACGAUGAUCAAUAGGGGACCUGAGAGGGUGAUCCCCCACACUGGCACUGAGAUACGGGCCAGACUCCUACGGGAGGCAG
rnacentral:rRNA from 1 species